GACGAACGCUGGCGGCGUGCCUAAUACAUGCAAGUCGAACGCAGUGGGGACGGGUGAGUAACACGUGGGUAACCUCCCAUCAGAAGGGAUAACACUUGGAAACAGGUGCUAAACCGAUACUGAUGGAUGAACCCGCGGUUCAUUUGCUAGUUGGUGAGGUAACGGCUCACCAAUGCCACGAUGCAUAGCCGAACGGAGAGCGUGAGCGGCCACACUGGGACGUGGACCCGGCCCAGACUCCGACGGGAGGAAGCAGUAGGGAAUCUUCGGCAAUUGACGAAAGUAUGACGGAGAAACGCCGCGUGAGGGAAGAAGGUUUUCGGAUCUUAAAACUCUGUUGUUAGAGAAGCGGUAUCUAACCAGAAAGCCACGGCUAACUACGUGCCAGCAGCCGCGGUAAUAC
rnacentral:rRNA from 1 species